CCUACGGGUGGCAGCAGUGGGGAAUAUUGCACAAUGGGGGAAACCCUGAUGCAGCGACGCCGCGUGAGUGAAGAAGUAUUUCGGUAUGUAAAGCUCUAUCAGCAGGGAAGAAAAAAGACGGUACCUGACUAAGAAGCCCCGGCUAACUACGUGCCAGCAGCCGCGGUAAUACGUAGGGGGCAAGCGUUAUCCGGAUUUACUGGGUGUAAAGGGAGCGUAGACGGCGCGGCAAGUCUGAAGUGAAAGGCGGGGGCUUAACCCCUGAACUGCUUUGGAAACUGCCAUGCUAGAGUGCUGGAGAGGUAAGUGGAAUUCCUAGUGUAGCGGUGAAAUGCGUAGAUAUUAGGAGGAACACCAGUGGCGAAGGCGGCUUACUGGACAGUAACUGACGUUGAGGCUCGAAAGCGUGGGGAGCAAACAGGAUUAGAUACCCUUGUAGUC
rnacentral:rRNA from 1 species